UUCCUUUCACAAUAGCAGAUUUAAUCAAGUCAAUGUACAUAUUUUCUUUUUCAUCAAUUGAGGUGUGGAUAACAAAUCAAACCUUUUCUAAUGAGCAGUUCUUAAAGACUAAAUGCAUACAGUUUUAAGCACUACUCUUUUGUAUUGGAAUAAAACCUGAUUGUCCAUUGGAUUGAUUUAGCAUCAAAGGGGUCAGCUCGGGUCUUAGUUGCACGAAGUGGGAGUGGGAUCCAAAGUCGGGGCAUGAGGGGGGGAAUAUAGAAGCUCCCAACUUUGGGAGGGUGAAAGUAACGUGUUCAUAUAUGACGAAAAUUAUGUAGCGUAGAAUACACUUUAAAAGUACAAUCUUUUUAGGGAGUAAAAAUAUGUACCUAGUGUAGCAUAAGUGUAAUAAAUGGGCUAGUGUUGCAAUGUAAUUUUUUUUUCUUUUCUUCAUGAUAUCAGGACUUGGGCUAGAUAUUUGAGUUCAUCAAAGACCAAUGAAACUAAUUAAUUGCUGUUUUUAUUUGCAUUUUACAAGGAUUGUACAAAAGCUCCUAUCUUCGUAAGGAGUGGCCUCCCGUCAAGCUCCUUGGUUGGGAGCUCAGGAGUGUGCUCUUAAGGUGAAAGCGGCUCCACUUUAGAAGCUCCCUAUUACUAAGGCUCGGGUUACCUGAGCGUAGAUGAGAAAAAUGGGAUCACCUCCUAUCAAUUAGCCCCAGUGCUAUUUGAGUCUCACCCUUUUCCCAUUUCUCCCCCAACCACAACAAUGAUGGAACCUAGCUCUGCGCCUCACUAGAAGCCCCAUAAGUCCACAUUAUGUGGCACAAUAGACUAUUUGAUGCCAUUGUAUGACAUUAGACAUGUCUAACAAUCGCCAUUGAAAAUAAAAAGUACGCAAUCUCCAAUUUUCAAUCAUCUGUUGACAUGAAUACAUGAGGAGUUUGCUUUGUGGGACAAUGUUAAAACUUUUAUACCCCAGAUUGUGUGCACUUGGAGGUGAUAAAAUUAGCCGUUGCCUUUAUGAACAAACCAGUCGUUUUCACAGUGGACAGGUACAGUCUUAAAUUUGGUUUUUGGGUACUGCACUAGGUUUACAAUUUUUCUUUCCAUGCUAGUAUUGUUUGCGAUAUGAGGAUAAUGUUGUACUUUUUGACUCCUGGAAGAUGAUCAAUAACACUACGGUAGCAAUCUUUCAAUUACUAAUUUACUUCCAUUAUGUCUUGGGGAAAAAGUUUGUCAUUUUACUUUGAAUUGUGUGUUAGCUGCUUCUUUUCCCCGGCAGGUAACUGGCAGUGAACAUUCUCUAAUGAGCUUUUUCCAUUCCUAAACUAUAUCAAG